CCUACGGGCGGCAGCAGUGAGGAAUAUUGGUCAAUGGGCGCGAGCCUGAACCAGCCAAGUAGCGUGAAGGAUGACUGCCCUACGGGUUGUAAACUUCUUUUAUAAAGGAAUAAAGUGAGGCACGUGUGCCUUUUUGUAUGUACUUUCUGAAUAAGGAUCGGCUAACUCCGUGCCAGCAGCCGCGGUAAUACGGAGGAUGCGAGCGUUAUCCGGAUUUAUUGGGUUUAAAGGGUGCGUAGGUUGUUUUUUAAGUCAGCGGUGAAAGUUUGUGGCUCAACCAUAAAAUUGCCGUUGAAACUGGAAGACUUGAGUGUGUUUGAGGUAGGCGGAAUGCGUGGUGUAGCGGUGAAAUGCUUAGAUAUCACGAAGAACUCCGAUUGCGAAGGCAGCUUACUAAACUGCCACUGACAUUGAUGCUCGAAAGUGUGGGUAUCAAACAGGAUUAGAUACCCUAGUAGUC
rnacentral:rRNA from 1 species